rnacentral:rRNA from 1 species
CCUACGGUGGGCUGCAGUGAGGAAUAUUGGUCAAUGGGCGCGAGCCUGAACCAGCCAAGUAGCGUGAAGGAUGACUGCCCUACGGGUUGUAAACUUCUUUUAUAAAGGAAUAAAGUGAGGCACGUGUGCCUUUUUGUAUGUACUUUAUGAAUAAGGAUCGGCUAACUCCGGCCCAGCAGCCGCGGUAAUACGGAGGAUCCGAGCGUUAUCCGGAUUUAUUGGGUUUACAGGGGGCGUAGAUGGGGUGUUAAGUCAGUUGUGAAAGUUUGCGGCUCAACCGUAAAAUUGCAAUUGAUACUGGCAGCCUUGAGUACAGUUGAGGUAGGCGGAAUUCGUGGUGUAGCGGUUAAAUGCUUAGAUAUCACGAAGAACUCCGAUUGCGAAGGCAGGUUCCUGGACAUUAACUGACGCUGAGGCACGAAGGCCAGGGGAGCGAAAGGGAUUAGAGACCCGAGUAGUC